rnacentral:RNase_P_RNA from 1 species
AAAAGGAGAGGAAAGUCCAUGCUCGCACCGCCUGGGAUGGCGGUAGUGAUUGCGGUGGGGGAAAAAAUAACCCCACGUGCGGUAGCGCGCAACGGCAGGCGAAGGACCCCCGUGGCCCAGAGCCCCUAAACGUACCACAGAGACGAGCUUGGUGGCGACAUCAAGAUGAAACGAGGCAAACCCCGCAAGCGAGAAACCCAAAUUUGGUAGGGGAAGCGGCCAAGGCGAACCGAAGCUAAGGCAGCCAGGGCAACCUGAGACAAAUUGCUGUCCUCGACAGAACAUGGCUUACAG